rnacentral:rRNA from 1 species
UCAGGACGAACGCUGGCGGCGUGCCUAAUACAUGCAAGUCGAACGGUCUUUCUAUGGAAGCUUGCUUCCACUGAGAAGAUAGUGGCGAACGGGUGAGUAACACGUGGGUAACCUGCCCAUAAGAGGGGGAUAACAUCCGGAAACGGGUGCUAAUACCGCAUAGUUUUCUUGAUCGCAUGAUUGAGAAAGGAAAGACGGCCUUUGUGCUGUCGCUUAUGGAUGGACCCGCGGCGUAUUAGUUAGUUGGUGAGGUAACGGCUUACCAAGACGAUGAUACGUAGCCGACCUGAGAGGGUGAUCGGCCACAUUGGGACUGAGACACGGCCCAAACUCCUACGGGAGGCAGCAGUAGGGAAUCUUCCGCAAUGGACGAAAGUCUGACGGAGCAACGCCGCGUGAGUGAAGAAAAGGUUUUCGGAUCGUAAAACUCUGUUGUCAGAGAAGAACAAGUUGGAGAGUAACUGCUCCAGCCUUGACGGUAUCUGACCAGAAAGCCACGGCUAACUACGUGCCAGCCGCCGC